CCAACGGCCCUCUUUAGGGCCACAAAUAUACGAAAUCCCUAUUGGU
rnacentral:ncRNA from 16 species